rnacentral:rRNA from 1 species
GCAACGCCUGCCCAGUGAACAAUUAAACGGCCGCGGUACCCUAACCGUGCAAAGGUAGCGUAAUCAUUUGUCUACUAAUUAUAGACCUGUAUGAAAGGCAAAAUGAGGGCCUGACUGUCUCUUAUAAUAAAUCAAUUAAACUGAUCUCCUAGUAAAAAAGCUAGAAUUCCAACAUAAGACCAGAAGACCCUGUGAAGCUUAAACUAAACCAUUAAACCCAAUAAUGAUUACUUUCGGUUGGGGCGACCUUGGAAAAAAAAAGAACUUCCAAACAAUGUGACUAAUCACACCCAAUACUAGGCCUACAAGCCAAUAAACGACCCAGCACAGCUGACAAAUGAACCAAGUUACUCCAGGGAUAACAGCGCAAUCUUCUUCAAGAGCCCAUAUCAAAAAGAAGGUUUACGACCUCGAUGUUGGAUCAGGACAUCCUAAUGGUGCAGCCGCUAUUAAGGGUUCGUUUGUUCAACGAUUAAUAGUCCUACGUGAUCUGAGUUCA